rnacentral:piRNA from 1 species
UAGACCUAAUUUAUGCCAUGGAUACUA